ACCUCUGUCUAAUAUCUAUUAUAAAUUCGUUUGACUGGGGGUAAUUGCGCGCACAACAACAACAACAUACAGAUACUGUGAAGACAGUGCCUGCAAGUGAAGCCAUAGCUAGACACGUUCCUCUGGAAUAUCCGACAUGGAUUAAGACUACUUUUAAUGUUCAUGAAAAGGCAGAGUACUAUAUAAAGUUAAUGUAUGAUAAAUUUCGCCAUUUGACCAC